AACGAACGCUGGCGGCAGGCCUAACACAUGCAAGUCGAGCGAGAUCUUCGGGUGGUGGAUAGUGGCAGACGGGUGAGUAACGCGUGGGAACGUGCCUUUCGGUUCGGGAUAACCCAGGGAAACUUGGGCUAAUACCGGAUACGCCCUCCGGGGGAAAGAUUCAUUGCCGAAAGAUCGGCCCGCGUCGGAUUAGCUAGUUGGUGGGGUAAAAGCUUACCAAGGCGACGAUCCGUAGCUGGUCUGAGAGGAUGACCAGCCACACUGGGACUGAGACACGGCCCAGACUCCUACGGGAGGCAGCAGUGGGGAAUAUUGGACAAUGGGCGCAAGCCUGAUCCAGCCAUGCCGCGUGGGUGAAGAAGGCCCUAGGGUUGUAAACCCCUUUCAGCGGGGAAGAUAAUGACGGUACCCGCAGAAGAAGCCCCGGCUAACUCCGUGCCAGCAGCCGCCGUAAGAC
rnacentral:rRNA from 1 species